UACGUAGGGGGCUAGCGUUGUCCGGAAUCAUUGGGCGUAAAGAGCGUGUAGGCGGUCCGGUAAGUCCGCUGUGAAAGUCGGGGGCUCAACCCUCGAAUGCCGGUGGAUACUGUCGGGCUAGAGUACGGAAGAGGCGAGUGGAAUUCCUGGUGUAGCGGUGAAAUGCGCAGAGUAUCAAGGAGGAACACCGGUGGCGAAGGCGG
rnacentral:rRNA from 1 species